rnacentral:ncRNA from 1 species
UGAUAGCUGUGAAGCGUGAGGUUGCUGAUUAUCAGCAAUGAUAAGCAGGUUUUCCGUGGAGCGAAUGUCAAGUUAGAAAACUGACGACAA